rnacentral:tRNA from 1 species
GGCCCGGUAGCUCAGCGGUAGAGCAGCGGACUCAUAAUCCGUCGCGCGCAGGUUCGAAUCCUGCCCGGGCCA